UACGAAGGGGGCUAGCGUUGCUCGGAAUCACUGGGCGUAAAGCGCACGUAGGCGGACUCUUAAGUCGGUGGUGAAAUCCUGGAGCUCAACUCCAGAACUGCCUUCGAUACUGAGAGUCUCGAGUCCGAGAGAGGUGAGUGGAACUGCGAGUGUAGAGGUGAAAUUCGUAGAUAUUCGCAAGAACACCAGUGGCGAAGGCGGCUUGCCAGAACGCACUCGACGGUGAGGGAUGAAAGCUGGGGGAGCAAACCGG
rnacentral:rRNA from 1 species